UACGUAGGGGGCAAGCGUUGUCCGGAUUUAUGGGGCGUAAAGAGCGUGUAGGCGGCCAGACAGGUCAGCUGUGAAAACUCGAGGCUCAACCUCGAGACGUCGGUUGAAACCGUCUGGCUAGAGUCCGGAAGAGGAGAGUGGAAUUCCCGGUGUAGCGGUGAAAUGCGCAGAUAUCGGGAAGAACACCCGUGGCGAAGGCGGCUCUCUGGGACGGUACUGACGCUGAGACGCGAAAGCGUGGGGAGCGAACAGG
rnacentral:rRNA from 1 species